UGGUGUAGUGAUUUGUCUGGUUAAUUCCAUUAACGAAUGAGACUUCUACCUCCUAAAUCGAUUGGUUAGUGAAUCAUGUUAAAGGGAUUUAUGUGCCUUGUAUUAGAUGCAGGAAUAUUACAGCAAUAACA
rnacentral:rRNA from 1 species